rnacentral:rRNA from 1 species
AACAAACGCUGGCGGCGUGCCUAAUACAUGCAAGUCGAGCGGGGAAAGCUUUCGGGUGAGUACUAGUGGCGCACGGGUGAGUAACGCGUGGAUAAUCUGCCUUAGAGUGGGGGAUAACUAGUCGAAAGAUUAGCUAAUACCGCAUAAGACCACGAGAACUGCGGUUCAAGAGGUCAAAGGUUUUUCGCUCUAAGAUGAGUCCGCGUAAGAUUAGCUAGUUGGUGAGGUAAUGGCUCACCAAGGCGACGAUCUUUAACUGGUCUGAGAGGAUGAUCAGUCACACUGGAACUGAGACACGGUCCAGACUCCUACGGGAGGCAGCAGUAGGGAAUAUUGCACAAUGGAGGAAACUCUGAUGCAGCGACGCCGCGUGAGUGAUGAAGGCCUUCGGGUCGUAAAGCUCUGUCGCAGGGGAAUAACACAAUGAAUGUACCCUGUAAGAAAGGAUCGGCUAACUUCGUGCCAGCCGCCGCCGUAACAC